CCCAGACAGUUUACCUAAACCCUUCAAUGGAUUCUACCAGGUCCCAGUUUACCUAAACCCUUCAAUGGAUUCUACCAGGUCCCAGUUUACCUAAACCCUUCAAUGGAUUCUACCAGGUCCCAGUUUACCUAAACCCUUCAAUGGAUUCUACCAGGUCCCAGUUUACCUAAACCCUUCAAUGGAUUCUACCAGGUCCCAGUUAACCUAAACCCUUCAAUGGAUUCUACCAGGUCCCAGACAGUUUACCUAAACCCUUCAAUGGAUUCUACCAGGUCCCAGACAGUUUACCUAAACCCUUCAAUGGAUUCUACCAGGUCCCAGUUUACCUAAACCCUUCAAUGGAUUCUACCAGGUCCCAGUUUACCUAAACCCUUCAAUGGAUUCUACCAGGUCCCAGACAGUUUACCUAAACCCUUCAAUGGAUUCUACCAGGUCCCAGUUUACCUAAACCCUUCAAUGGAUUCUACCAGGUCCCAGUUUACCUAAACCCUUCAAUGGAUUCUACCAGGUCCCAGACAGUUUACCUAAACCCUUCAAUGGAUUCUACCAGGUCCCAGACAGUUUACCUAAACCCUUCAAUGGAUUCUACCAGGUCCCAGACAGUUUACCUAAACCCUUCAAUGGAUUCUACCAGGUCCCAGACAGUUUACCUAAACCCUUCAAUGGAUUCUACCAGGUCCCAGUUUACCUAAACCCUUCAAUGGAUUCUACCAGGUCCCAGACAGUUUACCUAAACCCUUCAAUGGAUUCUCCCAGGUCCCAGUUUACCUAAACCCUUCAAUGGAUUCUACCAGGUCCCAGUUUACCUAAACCCUUCAAUGGAUUCUACCAGGUCCCAGUUUACCUAAACCCUUCAAUGGAUUCUACCAGGUCCCAGACAGUUUACCUAAACCCUUCAAUGGAUUCUACCAGGUCCCAGACAGUUUACCUAAACCCUUCAAUGGAUUCUACCAGGUCCCAGACAGUUUACCUAAACCCUUCAAUGGAUUCUACCAGGUCCCAGACAGUUUACCUAAACCCUUCAAUGGAUUCUACCAGGUCCCAGACAGUUUACCUAAACCCUUCAAUGGAUUCUACCAGGUCCCAGUUUACCUAAACCCUUCAAUGGAUUCUACCAGGUCCCAGACAGUUUACCUAAACCCUUCAAUGGAUUCUACCAGGUCCCAGACAGUUUACCUAAACCCUUCAAUGGAUUCUACCAGGUCCCAGUUUACCUAAACCCUUCAAUGGAUUCUACCAGGUCCCAGACAGUUUACCUAAACCCUUCAAUGGAUUCUACCAGGUCCCAGUUUACCUAAACCCUUCAAUGGAUUCUACCAGGUCCCAGACAGUUUACCUAAACCCUUCAAUGGAUUCUACCAGGUCCCAGACAGUUUACCUAAACCCUUCAAUGGAUUCUACCAGGUCCCAGACAGUUUACCUAAACCCUUCAAUGGAUUCUACCAGGUCCCAGACAGUUUACCUAAA